GACGAACGCUGGCGGCGUGCCUAAUACAUGCAAGUAGAACGCUGAAGAGAGGAGCUUGCUCUUCUUGGAUGAGUUGCGAACGGGUGAGUAACGCGUAGGUAACCUGCCUUGUAGCGGGGGAUAACUAUUGGAAACGAUAGCUAAUACCGCAUAACAAUGGAUGACACAUGUCAUUUAUUUGAAAGGGGCAAUUGCUCCACUACAAGAUGGACCUGCGGUGUAUUAGCUAGUAGGUGAGGUAAUGGCUCACCUAGGCGACGAUACAUAGCCGACCUGAGAGGGUGAUCGGCCACACUGGGACGGUGACACGGCCCAGUCUCCUACGGGAGGCAGCAGUAGGGCAUCUUCGGCAAGGGGGGCAACCCUGACCGAGCAACGCCGCGUGAGGGAAGAAGGUUGUCGGAUCGUAAAGCUCUGUUGUAAGUCAAGAACGGGUGUGAGAGUGGAAAGUUCACACUGUGACGGUAGCUUACCAGAAAGGAACGGCUAACUACGUG
rnacentral:rRNA from 1 species